UAGGGAGGACAGGGCUUGGCUCCCCUCCCCGAGCCUAGGGUAACUUUGAGAGUAGAGGGGAA
rfam:Neotoma lepida isolate 417 scaffold_2414, whole genome shotgun sequence.